UUAAAUUGAAGAGUUUGAUCAUGGCUCAGAUUGAACGCUGGCGGCAGGCCUAACACAUGCAAGUCGAGCGGUAACAGGAAUUAGCUUGCUAAUUUGCUGACGAGCGGCGGACGGGUGAGUAAUGCCUGGGAAUAUGCCUUGAUGUGGGGGAUAACUAUUGGAAACGAUAGCUAAUACCGCAUAAUGCCUACGGGCCAAAGAGGGGGAUCUUCGGACCUCUCGCGUCAAGAUUAGCCCAGGUGGGAUUAGC
rnacentral:rRNA from 1 species